rnacentral:snRNA from 1 species
AUUGCUGGUUGAAAACUUUUCCCAUUGCCCGCGAUGGCCUCUGAAACACGGGUGCCACACGCAAUUUUUGAACGCUCUAAGGGAG